GAUGAAGAACGUAGCGAACGUGCGAAACGUAAUGUGAAUUGCAGAAUUCAGUGAAUCAUCGAAUCUUUGAACGCAUCUUGCGCUCCUUGGUAUUCCGAGGAGCAUGCCUGUUUGAGUGUCGUGAAUACUCUCAACUUCAACCCUUUUUUCGGAAAGGGAGGAAGGUUGGACUUGGGUGUUUGUUGAAGUGCGAGCUUCGACUCAUCCUAAAUGCAUUAGCGAUCUGCCUCGAUCACACACAAUGUGAUAAUUAAAACUAAAGCAUUGUUUAAUGAUCAAGUCGAGACUGCUUCUAACUGUCGCAAGACAAUAACGUGCAUACAUUUGUGCAUGUCAUUUGACCUCAAAUCGGGUAGGACUACCCGCUGAACUUAAGCAUAUCAAUAAGCGGAGGA
rnacentral:misc_RNA from 1 species